CGCGGCCUAUCAGCUUGUUGGUGAGGUAACGGCUCACCAAGGGGAAGACGGGUAGCCGGACUGAGAGGUUGGUCGGCCACACGGGAAUUGAGACACGGUCCAGACACUUACGGGUGGCAGCAGUAGGGAAUAUUGCACAAUGGCCGAAAGGCUGAUGCAGGGACGCCGCGUGAGGGAUUGAACGUCCUCGGAUUGUAAACCUCUGUCUCCCCGGGAAGAAAUCUGACGGUACCGGGGGAGUAAGCACUGGCUAACUCCGUGCCAGCAGAUGCGGUAAUACGGAGAGUGCAAACGUUGCUUGGAUUUACUGGGCGUAGAGCGCAUGUAGGCGGAUCGGUAAAUCGGUCGUGAAAUCCCCCGGCCUACCCGGGGAACGGCGGUCGAAAAUGCCGGACUAGAGGGUGUCAGAGGAGAGCAGAAUUCCCGGUGGAGCGGUGAAAUGCGUAGAUAUCGGGAGGAAUGCCGGAGGCGAAGGCGGCUCUCUGGGGCAUACCUGACGCUGAAGUGCGAAAGCCAGGGGAGCGAACUGGAUUAGAUACCCAGGUAGUCCUGGCUGUAAACGAUGGGCGCUAAGUGCGCGGGCCUCCUUUGGGGGACUACGUGCUGCAGCUAACGCGUUAAGCGCCCCGCCUGGGGAGUACGG
rnacentral:rRNA from 1 species